GUGUCAGCAGCCGCGGUAAAACGUAGGAGCCAAGCGUUAUCCGAAUUCACUGGGCGUAAAGCGCGUGCAGGCGGCCUGAUAAGUUGGAUGUGAAAUCUCCUGGCUCAACUGGGAGAGGCCGUUCAAUACUGUUGGGCUAGAGGGCGACAGAGGGAGGUGGAAUUCCGGGUGUAGUGGUGAAAUGCGUAGAUAUCCGGAGGAACACCAGAGGCGAAGGCGACCUCCUGGGUCGCACCUGACGCUCAGACGCGAAAGCUAGGGGAGCGAACGGGAUUAGAAACCCCGGUAGUCCUAGCCGUAAACGAUGUAGACUGGGUGUCGGCGGGGUAAAAGCCGUCGGUGCCGAAGCCAACGCGAUAAGUCUACCGCCUGGGGACUACGGCCGCAAGGUUAAA
rnacentral:rRNA from 1 species